UGGUGUGUGGUUUGAGAGGAGUUGUGAUGACAAACUGUUGCAGUAGUACAUUAAAGUAAAUAAGUUCAAAGGGGCGUUACUCCUAGAAAAAAAAAUGAAUCGCAAUUUUCCAUCGAUAUGCACAACUACAUAGUAUGUCCUUAUUAUCUGAAAAGGUUUCGUGAAAUUCUGUUGUGUGGUUUGAGAGGAGUUGCGAUGACAAACUGUUGCAGUAGUACAUUAAAGUAAAUAAGUUCAAAGGGGCGUAACUCUUAGAAAAAAAAAUGAAUCGCAAUUUUCCGUCGAUAUGCACAACUACAUAGUAUGUCCUUAUUAUUUGAAAAGGUUUCGUGAAAUUCUGUUGUGUGGUUUGAGAGGAGUUUCAAUGAUAAACUGUUGCAGUAGUACAUUAAAGUAAAUAAGUUCAAAGUGGCGUAACUCCUAGAAAAAAAAUUGAAUCGCAAUUUACCGUCAAUAUGCACAACUACAUAGUAUGUCCUUAUUAUCUGAAAAGGUUUCGU
rnacentral:lncRNA from 1 species